CUCAGAGCUGGAAGGGUUCUUAGAAACCCUUCUCUACUUGAAGCACUCACCUCUCUGGGCCUUGGAUUCCCUCUCUGUAAGGUCACAGGUUCACUCCCUCCACCUGAGGGGGGACAGGAUGCAGCAUGUACAAGGAAAGUCAAACCACAACUGCUACCACUUCUCCAGUGGACCCUGAAUCCAAGAGCCUUGGAAUACAGCUCCCCACCAGAUACUCCAUCUUGCUUCUCGAUCAAGCCCCACAGUCAUCACUGAGUAGAAAUAUCGCUGUGGAUGAAGGUCACAUUUUUCUUGCCACAAUGCCAAAUGUUGACCAGCUACCAAUAACCCACCCAAGCUUCCUCAAAUGGCAGCACUUUCCUCCCUUCCCCAGUAUAAUCCCUGAAGCCGUCUUUCAGGGAAGCAACACUUACAGAAGGGACCAGCCAUCCAGGAUCAAAGAACCCUGAGCUGUAAUAGACAAUCUCCUGUCACAUCUUUGCUAGCCA